rnacentral:lncRNA from 1 species
GUCGAGUAAAAAAUCAGUGAUACGUCGCAUUCUAGUGAAUUUGUUACGUGUUUGAAACACAAAAGCAGUGCUCUUCUAUAACAUUGGUUACUGGUAAUAUAAUAACAUCUUAACAAUGAGGACUAUCAAACAACGUUCAUAUAUAUGUAUAGGAAAUAAUUUCUUUUAGGUUCGUGAUUUCAAGGGAAUUUUCUGAACGAAAAAGUCUAUAUGGACAUUUUGAUAUUAUGCAUUGAUUUUCAUUGUAAAUAGCCAGCAUUUAUAAUUAAUUGCAGUAA